rnacentral:rRNA from 1 species
CCUACGGGAGGCAGCAGUAGGGAAUAUUGCUCAAUGGGGGCUACCCUGAAGCAGCAACGCAGCGUGAAGGAUGACGGUUUUCGGAUUGUAAAAUCCUUUUGUUAUAGGAGAUAAUUGCGGUAUCUAACGAAUAAUCACCGGCUAACUCCGUGCCAGCAGCCGCGGUAAUACGGAGGGUGCAAGCGUUACUCGGAAUCACUGGGCGUAAAGGGCGCGUAGGCGGGAUAUCAAGUCAGAUGUGAAAUUCUUUGGCUUAACCAUAGAACUGCAUUUGAAACUGUUAUUCUAGAGUAUGGGAGAGGUAGGUGGAAUUCGUGGUGUAGGGGUAAAAUCCGUAGAGAUCAAGAGGAAUACUCAUUGCGAAGGCGACCUGCUAGAAUAUAACUGACGCUGAUGCGCGAAAGCGUGGGGAGCAAACAGGAUUAGAUACCCUAGUAGUC